UUCCGCGAUUGGAUGAACCUAGGUGGGAUUAGCUAGUUGGUGAGGUAAUGGCUCACCAAGGCGACGAUCCCUAGCUGUUCUGAGAGGAUGAUCAGCCACACUGGGACUGAGACACGGCCCAGACUCCUACGGGAGGCAGCAGUGGGGAAUAUUGCACAAUGGGGGAAACCCUGAUGCAGCCAUGCCGCGUGUGUGAAGAAGGCCUUCGGGUUGUAAAGCACUUUCAGUAGGGAGGAAAGGUAGCAGCUUAAUACGCUGUUGCUGUGACGUUACCUACAGAAGAAGGACCGGCUAACUCCGUGCCAGCAGCCGCGGUAAUACGGAGGGUCCGAGCGUUAAUCGGAAUUACUGGGCGUAAAGCGUGCGCAGGCGGUUUGUUAAGCGAGAUGUGAAAGCCCCGGGCUCAACCUGGGAAUUGCAUUUCGAACUGGCGAACUAGAGUCUUGUAGAGGGGGGUAGAAUUCCAGGUGUAGCGGUGAAAUGCGUAGAGAUCUGGAGGAAUACCGGUGGCGAAGGCGGCCCCCUGGACAAAGACUGACGCUCAGGCACGAAAGCGUGGGGAGCAAACAGGAUUAGAUACCCU
rnacentral:rRNA from 1 species